UUCCUACAGGGGGCAGCAGUGGGGGAUAUUGCACAAUGGGGGGAACCCUGAUGCAGCGACGCCGCGUGGGUGAAGAAGCGCCUCGGCGCGUAAAGCUCUAUCAGCAGGGAAGAAAAUGACGGUACCUGAGUAAGAAGCCCCGGCUAACUACGUGCCAGCAGCCGCGGUAAUACGUAGGGGGCAAGCGUUAUCCGGAUUUACUGGGUGUAAAGGGAGCGUAGACGGCAGUGCAAGUCUGGAGUGAAAGGCGGGGGCUCAACCCCCGGACUGCUCUGGAAACUGUACGGCUGGAGUGCAGGAGAGGG
rnacentral:rRNA from 1 species